ensembl:snRNA U6 U6 spliceosomal RNA
UAUAGGGGAAAUCAGUUAUAUAGAAAUAGCAUCAGAAAGAUACAGAGAUUAGUAUGGCCCUGAGCAAGGAUGACAUGCAAAUUUGUGAAGUGUUUCAUAUAUAC